UGCGUAGGUGGCGUGGUAAGUCAGAUGUGAAAGCCCGGGGCUCAACCUCGGAAUUGCAUCCGAUACUACCAUGCUAGAGUACUGAAGAGGUGACUAGAAUUCUCGGUGUAGCAGUGAAAUGCGUAGAUAUCGAGAGGAAUACCAACGGCGAAGGCAGGUCACUGGGCAGUUACUGACACUGAGGCACGAAGGCCAGGGGAGCAAACG
rnacentral:rRNA from 1 species